AUUAGCGGAGGAAAAGUAGAACCAACAGGGUAUUGCCCUAGUAACGGCGAGUGAAGCGGCAACAGCUCAAAUUUGAAAGCUGGCUCCGGCCCGCAUUGUAAUUUGCAGAGGAUGCUUUUGGUGAGGUGCCUUCCGAGUUCCCUGGAACGGGACGCCACAGAGGGUGAGAGCCCCGUAUGGAUGGACACCAAACCUGUGUAAAGCUCCUUCAACGAGUCGAGUAGUUUGGGAAUGCUGCUCAAAAUGGGAGGUAAAUCUCUUCUAAAGCUAAAUACCGGCCAGAGACCGAUAGCGCACAAGUAGAGUGAUCGAAAGAUGAAAAGCACCUUGAAAAGGGGGUUAAACAGUACGUGAAAUUGUUGAAAGGGAAGCGUUUGUGACCAGACUUGCGCCGGGCAGCUCAUCAGGGGUUCUCCCCUGUGCACUCUGCCCGGCUCAGGCCAGCAUCGGUUCUCGUGGGAGGAUAAGAACGGUGGGAAUGUGGCCCCCUCUCGGGGGGGUGUUAUAGCCCGCCGUACGAUACUCCCGUGGGGACCGAGGUUCGCGCUCCGCAAGGAUGCUGGCGUAAUGGUCAUCAACGACCCGUCUUGAAACACGGACCAAGGAGUCGUCCAUUAGAGCGAGCGUUUGGGUGUAAAACCCGCACGCGUAAUGAAAGUGAACGCAGGUGAGAGCUUCGGCGCAUCAUCGACCGAUCCUGAUGUUCUCGGAUGGAUUUGAGUAAGAGUUUUAACGGACGGACCCGAAAGACAGUGAACUAUGCUUGUAUAGGGUGAAGCCAGAGGAAACUCUGGUGGAGGCUCGCAGCGGUUCUGACGUGCAAAUCGAUCGUCAAAUAUGAGCAUGGGGGCGAAAGACUAAUCGAACUGUCUAGUAGCUGGUUACCGCGAGUUU
rnacentral:rRNA from 1 species